rnacentral:rRNA from 1 species
CGGAGACGCUGGCGGCGUGGAUUAGGCAUGCAAGUCGAACGGUAGGAUACCUUCGGGUAUCUGAGAGUGGCGAACGGGUGAGUAACACGUAGGUGAUCUACCCUCAAGAUUGGGAAACCCAGGGAAACUUGGGCUAAUACCGGAUGAAAGCAGCAGUGAUGUUGUUUGAAAGGUGGCGUAAGCUGCCGUUUGGGGAUGAGCCUGCGCUCUAUUAGUUAGUUGGCGGGGUAAAGGCCCACCAAGGCGAUGAUAGAUAGGCGGCCUUAACGGGUGGUCGCCCACACUGGGAUUGAGAUACGGCCCAGACUCCUACGGGAGGCAGCAGUCGAGAAUAGUCUACAAUGGCCGAAAGGCUGAUAGUGCGACGCCGCGUGAACGAAGAAGCCCUUCGGGGUGUAAAGUUCUUUUAUAUGUGAGCAGUGCUUUCUAUGUGAACAGCAUGGGGAGAGAGAUAUUAGCAUAUGAAUAAGCAACGGCUAACUCCGUG